AAUAACAAUGUCAAGCGCUCUGUCUAGAAUUAGUUUAGUUCAUCGAAUUGAAAUAAACAGUCAGUGUUUGAACCAACAUAUGAUAAAACAUCAGAGCACUGCAAUUUUGUUAAAGUACAUCCAGAAUCCUUGAGGAGGAGGAGACGUUCAGUAUUGAGGAACUGUGGUUCAGUCAGACUCCUCCUGCAGGUCUCUGAUAUGUGACAGUGUUAGUACAACUUUAUCAAAGAGAGGCUGAAACAAGAGUCUGCUAUAGAUUUCAACAAGUUCAUUUUAUCUAAAGUAUUAUUUAUCAAUUUCUGUGAUGGCAAACUGGCAAAGAAUUGUAGUCUUCUUGAUCACAUAUUUCUGGGGAUGUGAUUCUCUGGACAGAGUUGAACAAAAUCAGAGAGUUCAAACUGCUGUUGAAGGUGCAGCUGUAACAAUCAACUGUCAAUAUGAAUCCACUGAUGUUUCACCAAAUCUGUUCUGGUACCAGCAAAAAGUGAAUGGAUUUCCAGAAUAUAUGCUGAACAGAUUUGGUAAUAAUGACAUGCGGUUCAAGGAUAGAUUUAGCAGCGAUCUCGACACAACUACAAAAUCAUUUCCACUGACAAUCCAGGAUCUGCGUGUGUCAGACUCUGCUCUGUAUUACUGUGCUCUGAGGCCCACAGUCACAGGAAACACAAGAACACUGUACAAAAACCUGACACAGCUGAAUGCCUUACUAAACAGACUGAAGCACAUAACAAUAGAAAUAAUCACAUUCCCAAACUGCCAAAUCAGACACAGAACAAAAGUCUGAUGGAACAAAAAGAAACAUUUAUACUGAGAUAUCAUAACUUUGUACAAACCCAACAUUAAAUGUAUUAUAUGUGCUGUAAUGAAAGAUGCAUUUCACAGUGUAACUGCUAGACGCAUUUAUAAAGAAUACAACAUUAAAAUAUACAAGGAAAAAAGA